UACGAAGGGGGCUAGCGUUGUUCGGAAUCACUGGGCGUAAAGGGCGCGUAGGCGGCCAUAUAAGUCGGGGGUGAAAGCCUGUGGCUCAACCACAGAAUUGCCUUCGAUACUGUAUGGCUCGAGACCGGAAGAGGUAAGUGGAACUGCGAGUGUAGAGGUGAAAUUCGUAGAUAUUCGCAAGAACACCAGUGGCGAAGGCGGCUCACUGGUCCGGUACUGACGCUGAGGUGCGAAAGCGUGGGGAGCAAACAGG
rnacentral:rRNA from 1 species